rnacentral:rRNA from 1 species
UACGGGGGGGGUAAGCGUUGUUCGGAAUUACUGGGCGUAAAGGGCGCGCAGGCGGCUGCUCAAGUCAGGCGUGAAAGGCCUGGGCUCAACCCGGGAAUUGCGCUUGAGACUGGGCUGGCUUGAGUGCGGGAGAGGAUGGUGGAAUUCCCAGUGUAGAGGUGAAAUUCGUAGAUAUUGGGAAGAACACCGGUGGCGAAGGCGGCCAUCUGGACCGCAACUGACGCUGAGGCGCGAAAGCGUGGGGAGCAAACAGGG